AUUGAACGCUGGCGGCAGGCCUAACACAUGCAAGUCGAACGGUAACAGGAAGCAGCUUGCUGCUUUGCUGACGAGUGGCGGACGGGUGAGUAAUGUCUGGGAAACUGCCUGAUGGAGGGGGAUAACUACUGGAAACGGUAGCUAAUACCGCAUAACGUCGCAAGACCAAAGAGGGGGACCUUCGGGCCUCUUGCCAUCGGAUGUGCCCAGAUGGGAUUAGCUAGUAAGUGGGGUAACGGCUCACCUAGGCGACGAUCCCUAGCUGGUCUGAGAGGAUGACCAGCCACACUGGAACUGAGACACGGUCCAGACUCCUACGGGAGGCAGCAGUGGGGAAUAUUGCACAAUGGGCGCAAGCCUGAUGCAGCCAUGCCGCGUGUAUGAAGAAGGCCUUCGGGUUGUAAAGUACUUUCAGCGGGGAGGAAGGGAGUAAAGUUAAUACCUUUGCUCAUUGACGUUACCCGCAGAAGAAGCACCGGCUAACUCCGUG
rnacentral:rRNA from 1 species